rnacentral:rRNA from 1 species
UACGUAGGGUGCAAGCGUUGUCCGGAAUUAUUGGGCGUAAGGAGCUCGUAGGCGGUUUGUCGCGUCUGCUGUGAAAACGCGAGGCUCAACCUCGCGCCUGCAGUGGGUACGGGCAGACUGGAGUGCGGUAGGGGAGAUUGGAAUUCCUGGUGUAGCGGUGGAAUGCGCAGAUAUCAGGAGGAACACCGAUGGCGAAGGCAGAUCUCUGGGCCGUAACUGACGCUGAGGAGCGAAAGCGUGGGGAGCGAACAGG